rnacentral:rRNA from 1 species
UGGGGAAUUUUGGACAAUGGGGGCAACCCUGAUCCAGCAAUGCCGCGUGAGUGAAGAAGGCCUUCGGGUUGUAAAGCUCUUUUGUCAGGGAAGAAACGGUGAACUCUAACAUAGUUUGCUAAUGACGGUACCUGAAGAAUAAGCACCGGCUAACUACGUGCCAGCAGCCGCGGUAAUACGUAGGGUGCAAGCGUUAAUCGGAAUUACUGGGCGUAAAGCGUGCGCAGGCGGUCCGCUAAGACAGAUGUGAAAUCCCCGGGCUUAACCUGGGAACUGCAUUCGUGACUGGCGGGCUAGAGUAUGGCAGAGGGGGGUAGAAUUCCACGUGUAGCAGUGAAAUGCGUAGAUAUCGGGAGGAACACCUGUGGCGAAAGCGGCGCACUGGACCAUAACUGACGCUGAGGCGCGAAAGCUAAGGGAGCAAACAAGAUUAGAUACCCUGGUAGUCCUAGCCCUAAACGAUGAUUGCUUGGUGUAGCAGGUACCCAAUCCUGCUGUGCCGCAGCUAACGCGAUAAGCAAUCCGCCUGGGGAGUACGGUCGCAAGGCUG